CUGCGAUUUGCUUUCAGGAGUGAUACAGUUGGAAACUUUGGAAUGGCAGAGAGUUCAUUCAAGCAAGAACAUGAUCUAAUUGUUUUGUACUUCCUUCCGAUUUUUUUUUUUUUUUUUCAAUUUCUUUGGGUUGAUUAGUUAUUUAUUUUGAGUUUUUUUCCCUUUUCUUUUGUUUAAAAACCGAUUAGUGGUUUACGAAGUAAUUGAUUAUGACUGUUAUAUAGGAGAUCGGUGAGAAGAUAUUUUUUUGCUGCUAUGAGUUAAGCAUUUGAUAAAUACUAUUUUUUAUUGAUCUUUUUGGUGAUAUUUUCAAUUUUUUAAUUUAUUUAUUGAGCCCAGUUAGUGUGUGUGUGUGUGUGUGUGUGUGUGGGGCUUCAUUUUUUUAUUUUUUUUUAUUUUUAUUUUUUUUUGGGUAUUGUGAUUCAUGUUUUGUUCUACGUCACUUCCUUUUCGUGCUAAUAAAAUUGUUGUUUUUGUUUAUAAUUUACUUGCAUGCAAAUUAUAUAGAAACUUUUAGCUGAAGUAAAUUGGAAUUAUGGUUUUCUUUCAAUUAUUAUGUCGAUAACAAAUUAAGGAUUUUCUAAUCAGAAAUUUAUCUCUCUCUAGUUUCAUUGGAAGUAGAUAGACCUUGUUACUCCGAAUUGAUCUUCUUUUCUGCAAUGUAGUGGUGGUGAACAUACUAUUGCUCUCUCAGAUAGAAAAUAUUCGUUUAAUGUAACCACUAUGAAGAGUACAUCCAUUUUUUCUUUUAUCCCUUAAAUGAUUUCAAAUGAGUUGCCUGACCUAAAUUUUCUGAAAGUUCUGUACUCCGAGAGGCAAGAAUGUUAGUCGCAUUGUAGUUCACAUGAAUGAGUCACUUCACUUUGUUAGCCUUUAUUUAUUAAGUAUUGAUGUGCUUACAUUCAAUUGAAUCUCUUCUUUGUGUGUAUCAGUCCACCAUAUCUUCUUAUUCUUUUCUUUUUAUGUUAAAGUUCACCUCAACUUGGAUGGUAGCUGCAGUGUGUACAGCAUCACCAUCUCAUCGCCGCAAAGCACCUCCUCCAUUAUGCCGGCAAGGUGGUUUAUCAUUCCUUUCUCUUUCUCGCAUACUGGCACACGUACUUGCUACAUGAAAAAAAAUUACGAUCUACUGAUUUUUUUUACAGUAUUUGAAAAAGAACUAGAAGCCCCUCUACGAAGCUUUAUUGAAAGUCAAGGGGAGGUAUCUUUUAUCUUUCACUUUAUCUUAUGGCGUGUGUCAAUAGGCAUAAAUGAGUAUAUAUAAAAGAUAAUUUGCAUUUUCUUUUUCCAAUACGAUGAUUGAUUGAUUAAUUGCAACUAUGAAAUGGUGACUGAUUUUUGGGUGAAUGUAGAAUUGAUGUUGUUGGGGUUUAUAUCACUCGUGAUGACCAUGUUUCAAGGCCGUAUAGUCAAGCUCUGCGUGCCUGAAGACAUGAUGAAACAUUUGCUUCCAUGCUAAUUGUCAUUGAAAUCUUCUUCGAGUGGAAAAGAAUCUGCAAUUUACGUUACUUUUAAUCCUUUUGCAGGUUUUCUCUAACAUAUAUUGCCACAUAUAUAAACUACAAUCAUGUAAGUGAAUCCACAUUCACUGUCAAAUCAUAAAAUUUUAUUUCAUUUUUAAUCCGGGUUUAAUCCCAUGUUUUGAUCAUAAUAUAAUUUUGUUAUGAGCACGCGAAAAAAAUGUGUAUACGAGCAUAUCAAGUAUCAGUCAAGAUAAAUCAAAUUUCCUAUACAUUUUAUUGCACGAUUUGUUUGUAUACUAUUUGUUAUCGACCAAAAAGUAAAAUGUGCUCGUACACAAAUCUUUAAUCAUGUAAUCAAUAUGACUAAAGGAGAUGAUGUAGAUACUGUUGUUGAUUUCAAUGGCUACUAGAGCCUCUCGGUUGGAAAACCAAUAUGCCAUUCAUGCUGCAAUCAUGGGGAUGUUGGCUGAUCCUAAGAAAGUAUGCAGAUUUUGAUUCCAAGCUUUGUUGAUGAAGUGUGCACCUCAAGGCAUAAGCUUUAGGCAGCUUUUAAAACAAUGAUUGAUGUUGAAUAUUGUCUUCUUACUUGUUGAGCAAUUUUUUCUGAAACAAGUUGUGCGAGAAAGACUGUGUCCAGGCCUCAAUUCCGGCAUCUCCAGCUGGGAAGUCUUCGAGAAAAUCAGCAUUUAGAAAAGACAUGCUUGCAGCGAUUCUUGAAGGAUGCAAUUCCUAGUACGUUUAUGAAUUAAACUUGCUGAAAAUUGGCUAAUGAAUCGAUUUUCAUACAUCCAGCAAUAAUGUAACUGUAUAAAUUAUAAUGCUUCCUAAAAUAAUGGUUUCUGAUUCAAUAACCAAUAUAUUUUCUUUAAUGGAU
rnacentral:lncRNA from 1 species